UGGACAAAAAUAAACCAACACAUGUUUCGGAUUCCUUUCCCAAGUUGUUUCCAUGUGUUUUUCUUAAAUAGUUUAUUUCCCCGUUUACGUUAUAAAAAGAGGAGAAGCCAGUUUUGCAACUCGAAAGCGGAAAUACAUCAAGUGGAGAUUUAUCCGUGUUUAUACGGAGAGGAAAUUCAGCUGUACGAGCGGUUUAGCUCCAGAGUUUGGCCGGGGAGAGCGAGCAAAGAGCGGACUGAACUUCUUUUGGUCUCCUGACGGGCGAUCAUGGACUCAGCCAGCAGUUUGUCUCUGCUGGGCUUCAGGCAGCUUUCAGUCUGCCUGGUGGACUGUAUGAAGACUCCGGGAGUCCUGAGACCAAAGCCCAAAGACUUAUCUGACGGCCUCACUCAAAUGGAUCUGUCUGUCUCAUUGGUGGAAUGCAUGAAAACUCCAGGACUAAAUGGUG